CUGUGCGCUUCGAGGAGAAUGCAUUCCCCUGCCGACAAAAGCGAUUGACGCUGCAGGUCCCAGACCUGCCAGAAGGAGUCACUUUUGACCAACAAGACAUGACAGCAGCGUCAGAAUUUCUAGACGGCCACGGCCAUCGUCGCUUUUCGCUCUGACCGUGAUGCCCCGAAAAUCAUGGUACACCCUACGCCCACCAUCGCGGUCAUCUGUUUUUUCGUAAGUUUGUAGUUCGCAACUGAGAACAACCACAAGAACGGACUACAUACAGCAACUCCUGUCUGGUUUGGGUGAGUCCAAGGUGAAGACGUCUCCUCCAACGUCCCUGUUGUCGCGCUGCUCAUUUGGCCUGGAAGUAUUUGCCAGCACAUCCACACUGGGAUGAAAACACAUUCACCUACCAGUGACAACGACGGAGCUUGCAGUGCCCCAACCCACCACAUGAGUCGCUGGCGAGUCGCUGUAAUCCGGUUCGACACCAACCUUGCUGUAGUUCUGCUCUCCUGAGAAACACAUUUGCAUCAUGGGUACUGCUAAGAAAGCUUCCUGUGUAUCGGUCACCUGGGAGCAGUGUGCACAAUCCUGGCCAUGUUAAUAACAAGAUGUACAUUAGUGCUGCUGAACGGCUUGGAGACAAUCAACAUCCCAGCUUCCUGGGGCAACCAACACACUUUAAUCAGUGCUUGACAUGGACUGAAAGAGCUGUCCACUGUCGGGAAUCCCGGGGCUCGGGACAGAAUAUUCCCUAAAGGGCACAGUUCGUUGGGCUGAGCGGUGGUGGGAAGGAUUCAAACCCACGCUUUAGCAAUAUACUC